GACGAACGCUGGCGGCGUGCUUAACACAUGCAAGUGGAGCGACGAAACGGGCUUCGGCCCGUGGCAAAGCCGCGAACGGGUGAGUAACACGUGGGUAACCUGCCCCGAUGACCGGGACAACCCGAGGAAACUCGGGCUAAUACCGGAUGUGGUCACCUCACAUAAGUGAGAUGACUAAAGAUAGCUUCGGCCUUCGCAUCGGGAUGGGCCCGCGGCGCAUUAGCUUGUUGGUGGGGUAAAGGCCACCAAGGCGACGAUGCGUAGCUGGUCUGAGAGGACGAUCAGCCACACUGGGACUGAGACACGGCCCAGACUCCUACGGGAGGCAGCAGUGGGGAAUCUUGCGCAAUGCGCGAAAGCGUGACGCAGCAACGCCGCGUGGGGGAAGAAGGCCUCGGUGUAACCCUUCA
rnacentral:rRNA from 1 species